AGUGAACGCUGGCGGUAGGCCUAACACAUGCAAGUCGAACGGCAGCACAGUAAGAGCUUGCUCUUACGGGUGGCGAGUGGCGGACGGGUGAGGAAUACAUCGGAAUCUACUUUUUCGUGGGGGAUAACGUAGGGAAACUUACGCUAAUACCGCAUACGACCUACGGGUGAAAGCAGGGGAUCUUCGGACCUUGCGCGAUUGAAUGAGCCGAUGUCGGAUUAGCUAGUUGGCGGGGUAAAGGCCCACCAAGGCGACGAUCCGUAGCUGGUCUGAGAGGAUGAUCAGCCGCACUGGAAGUGGGACACGGUCCAGACUCCUACGGGAGGCAGCAGUGGGGAAUAUUGGACAAAGGGCGCAAGCCUGAUCCAGCCAUACCGCGUGGGUGAAGAAGGCCUUCGGGUUGUAAAGCCCUUUUGUUGGGAAAGAAAAGCAGCAGGUUAAUACCCCGCUGUUCUGACGGUACCCAAAGAAUAAGCACCGGCUAACUUCGUG
rnacentral:rRNA from 1 species